rnacentral:rRNA from 1 species
AUUGAACGCUGGCGGCAUGCCUUACACAUGCAAGUCGAACGGCAGCACGGGUGCUUGCACCUGGUGGCGAGUGGCGAACGGGUGAGUAAUACAUCGGAACGUACCUUAUCGUGGGGGAUAACGCAGCGAAAGCUGUGCUAAUACCGCAUACGCCCUGAGGGGGAAAGCGGGGGAUCGAAAGACCUCGCGCGAUUAGAGCGGCCGAUGCCUGAUUAGCUUGUUGGUGGGGUAAAAGCCCACCAAGGCGACGAUCAGUAGCUGGUCUGAGAGGACGAUCAGCCACACUGGGACUGAGACACGGCCCAGACUCCUACGGGAGGCAGCAGUGGGGAAUUUUGGACAAUGGGGGCAACCCUGAUCCAGCAAUGCCGCGUGAGUGAAGAAGGCCUUCGGGUUGUAAAGCUCUUUUGUCAGGGAAGAAAUGUCCUGGGCUAAUACCCUGGGGGGAUGACGGUACCUGAAGAAUAAGCACCGGCUAACUACGUGCCAGCCGCCGCAGUAA